CGGGAGGAGAGGUGCAGGGGUGCAUACUGUCUGUGAAUCUCCUGUUCAGCGGACAUUAACAACAGCCACUUGAUCCAGUUGCUCAUGGAGGUAAGACCUUCCGGCCAUAGUUGGGGUUCAACGUGGACCUUUAUGUCCAAUAAAGGUAGGACCAUGACCCAAUGGGACUGUGGCUUUCUAGGAAGAAGAGAGGAAUCCUGAGCAAGUAUAUCCUGUCUCUCUCUGUAAUGUCCUGGGGCACAUCGGGACUCCGCAGCAUCCUUAUUGUCAAGAAAGACUUGCCAGAUGCAGCCACUCGGCCUCAGACCUCCAGAACUGUGAACUGAAUGAAGCUUUCUUCUUUAUAAAUUAUGCAGUCUGGACUAUUCAUUCACUCGUGGCAACAAAAACGGCCCAUGGUGCCUUCUAUAUUCAAUAUAAAAAUAAUGAUGGUGAGCCACAUGUAAAAUAGACUUUUCAUUCUCUCCUACAGCAACCUGCCUGGGGACACUAUACUAUUAUCUACAGUUGUCAGUUUUCGGGGAGCGGUUUGUUGUCAUUCAGACCUUCGGGGAACCCAGUGACAUUUCUCAGGCCAACCCAGGAAAUGAAACAAUAGCAUUUAUAAUAAUAGCCCCACACGGUCAGGACUUAACUGACAGCCCAACUUUUGUCCUUACUUCCAACAUAGCAGGGAGCAAGCAAAGCCCGUGGUAGGUGCCCAGCCAGGAGCUGAUGCCCAGCUUCUCAGUUGCCACCUCCGUUCCCCAGGCCAACAGCCUUCGAUUAGGGAGCACUUUGGCACCCAGCAUCCCCAUCCAUGAUGAACUUCUCCUCCACCUGCCUUUAAGGCUCUGCCAUAUACAAGUAUUG
rnacentral:lncRNA from 1 species